GAAUUUACACUCUCCAACCCAAUGUGAACGUUACCAAACUGUUGCCUCGGCGGGAUCUCUGCCCCGGGUGCGUCGCAGCCCCGGACCAAGGCGCCCGCCGGAGGACCAACCAAAACUCUUUUUGUAUACCCCCUCGCGGGUUUUUUAUAAUCUGAGCCUUCUCGGCGCCUCUCGUAGGCGUUUCGAAAAUGAAUCAAAACUUUCAACAACGGAUCUCUUGGUUCUGGCAUCGAUGAAGAACGCAGCGAAAUGCGAUAAGUAAUGUGAAUUGCAGAAUUCAGUGAAUCAUCGAAUCUUUGAACGCACAUUGCGCCCGCCAGUAUUCUGGCGGGCAUGCCUGUCCGAGCGUCAUUUCAACCCUCGAACCCCUCCGGGGGGUCGGCGUUGGGGAUCGGCCCUGCCUCUUGGCGGCGGCCGUCUCCGAAAUACAGUGGCGGUCUCGCCGCAGCCUCUCCUGCGCAGUAGUUUGCACACUCGCAUCGGGAGCGCGGCGCGUCCACAGCCGUUAAACACCCAACUUCUGAAAUGUUGACCUCGGAUCAGGUAGGAAUACCCGCUGAACUUAAGCAUAUCAU
rnacentral:rRNA from 1 species